CAAGACCCAUAAGUGAAAUCUAAGUCUUCGAUGGCUUCUACUCUAACACAAACCACACAAACCAUAAAUAGUUUCCACCUCUUCAUUCUAUAUAAGCAUACGAAUGAGUCAUACUGAUCAUCAUUCAUUAGUAAAUUAAGAUACAAUACUAAGAUGGCAUCUUCUAAAGUAUCUUCCAUGCUUCUCUUUCUCCUCCUUCUCGUUCUUGUGUUUCCCCAUAUGGAUAAAGCCCUUGGUGAAGAAAGACAGCUCCACGAACUUAAAGGCACAGAGCAUCCCGAUCAACUGAUGACGGUUGGAAGGAGCCUUCUCUUUCGCAUCCCUCCAUGCCCACCGUCCUUAUGUAAGCCUCGUCCGAUAAGAAUUCCUCCCCGACUUCGUACACCUCCACCCCCUCCACGGCAUUGAAGGUUUCCAAAAGGCAAAAACACAUGGAUCCCAAAAUAUUUGGAUGAAAAUAUAUUUUCGUAAUUCCUCACUAUAAAUGUAAUUCUGAAAUUUUCUUUCAAAAUAAAGAGAUCAUGCCACUCGGGAUGAUGGUAUGAUGAUAUGUUGUUGUAAGUUUUAAGCUAUUGUAUGAUGAUAUAUUUGUUGAUAUU